UACGGGAGGCAGCAGUGGGGAAUAUUGCACAAUGGGCGAAAGCCUGAUGCAGCUAUGCCGCGUGUAUGAAGAAGGCCUUAGGGUUGUAAAGUACUUUCAUCGGGGAGGAAAAACAAAACUAAUAAUUUUAUUUCUUGACGUUACCCGAAAAAGAAGCACCGGCUAACUCCGUGCCAGCAGCCGCGGUAAUACGGAGGGUGCUAGCGUUAAUCAGAAUUACUGGGCGUAAAGAGCACGUAGGUGGUUUUUUUAAAGUCAGAUGUGAAAUCCCUGGGCUUAACCUGGAACUGCAUUUUGAAACUGAAAUACUAGAGUAUCGUAGAGGGAGGUAGAAUUCUAGGUGUAGCGGUGAAAUGCGUAGAUAUCUGGAGGAAUACCUGUGGCGAAAGCGGCCUCCUAAACGAAUACUGACACUGAGGUGCGAAAGCGUGGGGAGCAAACAGGGAUUAGAUACCCUCUGAGACCGCAACGGCGCAACAGGGAGUAG
rnacentral:rRNA from 1 species